AGCUGGCAAUUGACACGGUUGGGCGAAUUGUGGUCUGGAGAGGCAGACUGUCCCGAUCCACUGCUGCUGAGCCCGAAGUUGACUUGGAACGGCACGCCAAAGAGGGUGAGAGCCCCGUAGGGCCUAGAAAUCGGUAGCAGCGGGACGAGGGUCUGUACUCGUAGAGUCGGGUUGUUUGGGAAUGCAGCCCCAAGUGGGUGGUAGACUCCAUCCAAGGCUAAAUACGGGCGCGAGACCGAUAGCUGACAAGUACCGUGAGGGAAAGGUGAAAAGCACUUUGAAGAGAGAGUUCAAUAGACCGUGAAACCGUUGGGAGGGAAGCUCAGGGUGUCGAGGUUGUCGUGCACUGUUCGAGUUCAGCUGGUGGUGGCAGUUUUCUGUUGCUGCUGGUGCACUCUCUUAUGGUGUUUGACCGUCAGUUGGGAAGAGGCGGAGGUCUGUGGUGUCAGUAGUCGGGAGGUACGCCCCGUGUCUCCGUAAGGUGCUCGGGGUGACGUACAGCCGUUCUGCUGUGGUCUCUGUCGUCUUUCAGGUGCGUUUGGAUGUCUGUUCGUCCAKAAAUGGAAGGUGCAGUCUCCCGAAGUGGGGGAUCGGGCCAUUCGCUCGGUUGUUCUGCGUUGUUCAGUCGUGUUCCGUUCUCUCUCCGUUCAGUCUCUGGCUGUCGGGGCUGAGUGCGGCACUUCAGGCAAUCGUCAGUAUCCCGUGUGUUUGUGUCCUGGAAUCUGUGCCAAAGGUGACUGGCGAAGAGUCGUUACCCUGUGCCCCGUCUUGAAACACGGACCAAGGAGUGCAAGAGAUGCGCAAGUCGGAAGGGUUGUGUUGGGGCUUCUCCUCCGGGAGCUGUCCUGCCUGAAAGACCCAUGUGUUUGGAACGGGCGAAGUGAGAGCAAUUCAUUGGUGCGAGAGCCGUGGGGAGACCCGUGGCGCAUCGCUGGCCGAGCUAAGGUCACGCUGUGACCGGUUUCGAGUACGAGCGUAUCUGUUGCGACCCGAAAGAUGGUGAACUAUGCCUGAGGAGGGUGAAGCCAGAGGAAACUCUGGUGGAGGCCCGUAGCGGUUCUGACGUGCAAAUCGAUCGUCGCACUUGGGUAUAGGGGCGAAAGAC
rnacentral:rRNA from 1 species